GGGGGGGGGGCAAGCGUUGUUCGGAAUUACUGGGGCGUAAAGGGCGCGCAGGCGGCCCCGGCCAGUCCUACGUGAAAUCCCACAGCUCAACUGUGGAACUGCGUGGGAUACUGCCAGGCUUGAGUCCGGGAGAGGAGAGUGGAAUUCCCAGUGUAGCGGUGAAAUGCGUAGAUAUUGGGAGGAACACCGGUGGCGAAGGCGGCUCUCUGGACCGGCACUGACGCUGAGGCGCGAAAGCUAGGGGAGCAAACGGGAUUAGAUACCCCGGUAGUCCUAGCCCUAAACGAUGAGCACUUUGUGUGGCGGGUAUCGACCCCUGCCGUGCAGAAGCUAACGCAUUAAGUGCUCCGCCUGGGGAGUACGGUCGCAAGGCUG
rnacentral:rRNA from 1 species